CCAGCAGCCGCGGUAAUUCCAGCUCCAAUAGCGUAUAUUAAAGUUGUUGCAGUUAAAAAGCUCGUAGUUGGAUCUCGGGUCCCGGGCUUGCGGUCCGGCGCAUGUCGGUCAACUGCUCGUCCCGGCCCAGUCUUCCCGGUUCUCUGCCCUUGGUGCUCUUGACUGAGUGUCUCGGGUGGCCGGAACGUUUACUUUGAAAAAAUUAGAGUGUUCAAAGCAGGCCUCGUCGCCUGAAUAAUGGUGCAUGGAAUAAUGGAAUAGGACCUCGGUUCUAUUUUGCUGGUUUUCGGAGCUGGAGGUAAUGAUUAAGAGGGACUGACGGGGGCAUUCGUAUUACGGUGUUAGAGGUGAAAUUCUUGGAUCGCCGUAAGACGAACUACUGCGAAAGCAUUUGCCAAGAAUGUUUUCAUUAAUCAAGAACGAAAGU
rnacentral:rRNA from 1 species